UUUGAGCGGCAAUUGUUCUACUAUCUUUUCCCUCACACGCUCUGUUCUUUCAUCCGCUCCCCUUCAAACCCUAAAUCUCAUCCCGUCACGUUUUCUUUUCCUCAGAAACCAUGUUGCUUUCUUUCUCCUUUUCUUUUCCUGUCUCAUCUAUCGGAACAACGAUCUCACCCGUUACCGUCUUUCUCCAUCUCUUUACCAAAACCCUACCUCUGAAUCUGAAGGAAUCAAGCAACAUCAGGUAUGUUAAUCUAUAAUCCGUUGAUGAUUACAUUGUAAUGUAUGUUAAUUUUCUUAUGGUCCAUAUAAGUUCGUAUUCUAGGGUUUUGAAACAGUCGCACUAAAUCCUCUAGCCGUUUCUUAUCAUCUCUCUCAUGAAAUCGAUCAACAUCAAUUAGAUUAAAUCAAAUGAACCCUUCCUGUCAAUUCGAUCAGUGGAGGUUUGCAAAAGCUAAAGCACAAGUCUCUAUGAAUGCUCAGACAACACAAAUGAGUCAAUUGUUUUCUCUUGGAGCUGAUAUAUCUUAUAUGUUUGGACAUGUAUUAGGUCUGGCCUCAGAAUUCUACGUCCAACAAUCUACUUGGAGUAAGUGUCAGGCUCCUCAAAUGCCUUACGCAAUUCAGAGGUCAUCGUUACUGGUCCAAGUUUUAACCAAUCUCCCAUGAUGUUACCCCGAAGAGGACAAUGCUCACUUUAUCAAUGUAUUUCUCGAGUGCUUGAAAACGGAAUCUUCUUUACCUGGUGGUGCUGCUGAAAGAACAGAUGCCGCAAGAAAAAACCUAUGUAUAUAUUUCGAUUUCAACACUUCCUUCGGUUGAUAAGAAGUUAGAGAUGCCAAUAUGGGUGGGUUGGGUAACGGGUCACUUUUCACUACUGGCCGGGUCUUUAUCCUCAGAAUUACGCAGUCGUGCCACUAUCCCAGAUCAUGUGUAUAAAGCUGUUGAUGUGUUAACAACAUCCAAUGACUCAGUUUACAACUGGUGUUAUGGCUCCUCAAGUACAAAGAUCAUUCUCAAAUGCAUAUGAGAAUGGAAUAUCUUAAUCCAAGUAUGUAUCUUCUCAUAUUUAUAUUUGUUAUAAACAAGUAAUUGUUUACUAGGUAGUCAAAGUCCUAAGGCGCGAAAGGCCCGCCUGCCAAAAAAGCACACACCCGAGACAAAUAAAACGCAAUAUUAGAAAAUAGUAUGUGUGUUUGUAAUAGGGAUGGACAAUUGACUCAGGAUCUGCCUCUGGUAAUAUAAGUCUUCAAUUAUUUAUUAAACUUUUUUUCAUUUACUGAUCACAUAUUUCUGCUUACAGGUUAGUGCAUAUUCAUCUUUUGCAAUAAUUGGGUGUGGUCUUGGUUAUGAGCAACAAAAAAAGAGGGUAGACCUUGCUACAAAUGAACUGUUGGUUACAAAUUGCACCCAUGAUUUCAUUGGUACCCUUGAUUACAUCUUUUACUCAGUAUGGACUUUGGAACUGGAAGAAUCCGAAAGGUGAGAGGACAAACUGGGUAUACAUGAAUAUAGGCUUAUUGAUCAGAAGCUCUAAAAAGGCUGGAAUUAUGCAGCAAAUUUGAUUAAGAGGAAAAUCGAAGCUGGAGUUUACUGCAGGACAGUCGAAACAAGAGUUGGAUUGUUGGAGAUAGGUGUUUACUGGCUUCUUCAGCAGCCAUGGCGAUAGGAAUGUUUUUAAAUAGCAAGAAAAGGUUUGGAUGCGGCUGCACAUGAUCAACAAAGCAUGAAGGGACUGACAUUUGGAUUGUGAUUUAUCUUGCAACUGGAAAAUUCGAAAUUGGGUUGCUGUGGAGUCAGUUAUUCAGCAUCCGGUCCCACAGGGCCAUGUGAAGCGGAGAGUGUCAUCAGGUGGGAAAUAUGUCUCAGUGAACCUUGGACCUGUUCGAGUCGUUUCUAAGGAACAGCUAACGGCAGCAGAACUCCAAUCACACCAUGCCAAGCCUUUUCGGUUGUUAAUGGCGGUCAAGAUCCGGGUCUGCAGUCCGGACGCGGAAGCAUUGUCGGGUCGGAUUGUGGAGGGAUGGAGUUUACUAGAGAAGAAGUUGAUGCACUGUUGAAUACUAAGAUCAGAACCAAAGAUAAGUUCAAUCUUAAGUUUUUUAGGAAAAAAGUGAGAUGAUGAUGGAUUAUGUUAAAAAGCUUUAGAAUGUGUGUAAGAUGGUAUCAAGAAUUUGAAGGGGGGAUUUCUUUGAAUCUGCAGAAACGAAAUCCAAUGAUAUGGAGAGGCUAAUGAAUGAGAAGGAAGAAGAGCUGAACUCGAUAAUCGAGGAACUGCGAAUGAAUUACUCUGUUUUACAGGACAAAUUCACGAAAGAAGAGGCCGAGAAGUUGGCUGCAAUUGAAGCCUUUUUUUUUGAAACGUACAAUUGAAGCCUUAGUGGCCGAGAAGAAUGCCAGGAUGACAGCCGAAAGAUCGCAGGCAGCCCUCACUGAAGAUCUUGAAAAAGCUUUAAGAGAUGAUUCGAGCUCGAAUCAAAAGUUUCGUUUCCAAGGGCGAUCCCGCUGGUACAAUCGUCAUAUUUUACACUCAAUUUCUGCUUACAAGGAAUGAAUGUUUCCCCUUUACGCUCAUAAGCGGAUUCGAGUAAAUAUCACUGGGAUUGCUCUUGGAAUUAAUGUGCUUCCAGGCUCCAUCCUCAUAAUCUUCUCAUGCUUCAACCUCAACUUCAGCAAAUUCAGGAGGAAGAGUGGAGUAUCUUUCAGGCUUCCAAGGACCCCUCCCUUACAGCCAUAAAUAUAAACACACACCUUGAUUUUAACAUGAAAUUGCAACUCGAAGGCACAUUCAUUAUUAUUGAACUAAAGCAACUUUGAUAAACCAUAAAAAGAAACAUUCGAAUAACCAAAAUGUAUGGAAAUAUGAUGUUACAUGUAAAAAGCUUAAUUCAUACGUUAUUUCAUUUCGUUGCAUUUUCCUUCUUCAGUCAUGUAUUUGAGUUGCAAAUCGUUUGUAAAUACUUCUAUCUUAGGUAGUUAUUUCAAUGAAAUGAUGUCUCCAUUAGAGAUUUU